GACGAACGCUGGCGGCGUGCUUAACACAUGCAAGUCGAACGAUGAAGCCUAGCUUGCUGGGUGGAUUAGUGGCGAACGGGUGAGUAACACGUGAGUAACCUGCCCUUGACUCUGGGAUAAGCACUGGAAACGGUGUCUAAUACCGGAUAUUUCAACCGUCCGCAUGGUCUGGUUGUGGAAAGAAUUUUGGUCAAGGAUGGACUCGCGGCCUAUCAGGUAGUUGGUGAGGUAAUGGCUCACCAAGCCUACGACGGGUAGCCGGCCUGAGAGGGUGACCGGCCACACUGGGACUGAGACACGGCCCAGACUCCUACGGGAGGCAGCAGUGGGGAAUAUUGCACAAUGGGCGAAAGCCUGAUGCAGCAACGCCGCGUGAGGGACGACGGCCUUCGGGUUGUAAACCUCUUUUAGUAGGGAAGAAGCGAAAGUGACGGUACCUGCAGAAAAAGCACCGGCUAACUACGUGCCAGCAGCCGCGGUAAUACGUAGGGUGCAAGCGUUGUCCGGAAUUAUUGGGCGUAAAGAGCUCGUAGGCGGUUUGUCGCGUCUGCUGUGAAAACUGGAGGCUCAACCUCCAGCCUGCAGUGGGUACGGGCAGACUAGAGUGCGGUAGGGGAGAUUGGAAUUCCUGGUGUAGCGGUGGAAUGCGCAGAUAUCAGGAGGAACACCGAUGGCGAAGGCAGAUCUCUGGGCCGUAACUGACGCUGAGGAGCGAAAGCAUGGGGAGCGAACAGGAUUAGAUACCCUGGUAGUCC
rnacentral:rRNA from 1 species